UCCGGAGCUAACGCGUUAAAUCGACCGCCUGGGGAGUACGGCCGCAAGGUUAAAACUCAAAUGAAUUGACGGGGGCCCGCACAAGCGGUGGAGCAUGUGGUUUAAUUCGAUGCAACGCGAAGAACCUUACCUGGUCUUGACAUCCACAGAACUUAGCAGAGAUGCUUUGGUGCCUUCGGGAACUGUGAGACAGGUGCUGCAUGGCUGUCGUCAGCUCGUGUUGUGAAAUGUUGGGUUAAGUCCCGCAACGAGCGCAACCCUUAUCCUUUGUUGCCAGCGGUUCGGCCGGGAACUCAAAGGAGACUGCCAGUGAUAAACUGGAGGAAGGUGGGGAUGACGUCAAGUCAUCAUGGCCCUUACGACCAGGGCUACACACGUGCUACAAUGGCAUAUACAAAGAGAAGCGACCUCGCGAGAGCAAGCGGACCUCAUAAAGU
rnacentral:rRNA from 1 species